UGUAAACGCCUAUUCAGAGGCCACUCAGUCAAUAAAAUCAUGUUAUUCAGUACAUCUUUGUGUUCAUUUUCGUUUUACUGUUUUAUUUGCAAAAAUGACGUCCGAAUUUUUGAUAAACAUUGCAUCAUGAAACAUAAGAGCUUUACAGGUACGUGCUUAAUAAACAUUGAAAAUUGCUAUAAAUUUUAAGUGCUUUGGAUCGUCUAUUUAGAACAGGUACACAAAACAUUGAAAAUUGCUAUAAAUUUUAAGUGCUUUGGAUCGUCUAUUUAGAACAGGUACACUCGGGGCAUU
rnacentral:lncRNA from 1 species